ACGAGCAUCCAACAAGGCAAGCAUAUCAUCAGAUUCACAAAAUGAAGCCAUAAUGAAGUAAACAGUGAUUCAUGCAUUCAAAACCAUAAAAUAAAUAAAUCAGAUACCAUACUGCAUUUAGACUGUAAAAUAAAUCAAACAGGAACUGACAGAGAAAUAUGUCCGAUUCGGGCUCCAUUAGCAACUGUAAUAAUUAUGUAUAUCUAUUUAAUUCAUACAAAUACAGUUUUAUCAUUUAUUAGACUUUAAUCAUGUGAUAGGAAAUAGGGUGAGAGGUCUUUACCUGAUUCGAAGUCAAAGACCGGAUUUUCACUGCGCCUACAGGCAGUCCCUAGGUUCCCUGAAUUUUUUCUCCAGAAACUGAAACGCACUUACGAUAUCUACACAUGUCCCAAAUAACUCAAAAAUCAGACCUAAGGCCUAUUCGGCAUAUUUUGGCAUUUCGGCACGGCGGCUCCACCGUGCUCCGCCUUGCGGUGGCGAUCCGCCUCGGGUUGGCCAUUUUUGGCCGAAUUUGGCCUAACUUGCAUUGGUUCCUGUGAGAAAACAUCCCUAGGACCCUCGGUGGGCCGAAAAAAUACCAAAAACUAAAACUUACCAGCGGCAGGGCUCUCCGGUGCGGCAGCUCCUCUAGCUCGAGUCGUAAUUUGGUGUUUUGUUCCGGUCAACCUGUAGAGGAAGGAAUGGUGGUCACAAUGGUGGAAAAAUUACAUCGAACGGGAAUCGAAAAGGGCCUCAUCAGAGGCAAAAAUUGAGAAAAUCCGAGGCGGCACCGUUGGGCUUCGACGGUGUUUUUGCUCUAAUUUGGCCAUAGGUGGGUUCAGCAUCGAAAUCUGAGCCAAGGAAAAAAAUUUUUACCUCGUUUGGCGGCUGGAAAUUGCUCCGGUGCGGCGGCGGGUGGCGGCGGUCGGCUCCCCAGCGGCUGGGCUGUCUUCUUCAACGAGGGGCUCUGGCGUCUAGGGUUAGGGUUUGGGUGCAGAUGAGAUCUAUUUAUAACAAUCCGCUUUUAAUCUGAGCCAUCCAUCGCGAUUUAAUCUGGACCAUCCGAUCGUGAUUAAAUAGGAAAUUAAUCUGGACCGUUCAUCGCGAUGCAAUCUAGGUCGUCCGUGCGCGAUUCAAUUUGGGCCAUUCGUGCACGUGCAAUCUGAGCCAUCGGCAUGCGCUUUUGAUUUGGGCCAUCCGUGCGCGCGGGAACGGAUCUCAGCCGUUCGAUUGCGCGCACAUAGAUCGCCCACGUGGCUCCCUUCUGCGUGGCCUCUCGAGUCAGUGUCUCUGCCACGUGGCAUGUCCUGGUUGGCCGGGGCUAUUACU
rnacentral:lncRNA from 1 species